rnacentral:rRNA from 1 species
GACGAACGCUGGCGGCGUGCUUAACACAUGCAAGUCGAACGAAGUGGCGAACGGGUGAGUAACGCGUAAUCAACCUGCCCUUCAGAGGGGGACAACAGUUGGAAACGACUGCUAAUACCGCAUACUGAAGGAGGGGAUUGCGUCUGAUUAGCUAGUUGGAGGGGUAACGGCCCAACAAGGCGAUGAUCAGUAGCCGGUCUGGGAGGAUGAACGGCCAACUUGGGACUGGGACACGGCCCAGACUCCUACGGGAGGCAGCCAUGGGGAAUCUUCCGAAAUGGACGAAAGUCUGACGAAGCAACGCCGGGUGAGUGAUGACGGCCUUCGGGUUGUAAAGCUCUGUUAAUCGGGACGCGGUACCGGAAUAGAAAGCCACGGCUAACUACGUGCCAGCAGCCGCGGUAAUAC